rnacentral:rRNA from 1 species
GAUGAACGCUAGCGGCAGGCUUAACACAUGCAAGUCGAGGGGUAUGCCGAUUUAUCGGCAGAGACCGGCGCACGGGUGCGUAACGCGUAUGCAAUCUACCUUUCACAGAGGGAUAGCCCAGAGAAAUUUGGAUUAAUACCUCAUAGUAUAGCAGUUUCGCAUGAAACCACUAUUAAAGUUCCAACGGUGAAAGAUGAGCAUGCGUCCCAUUAGCUAGAUGGUAAGGUAACGGCUUACCAUGGCUACGAUAGGUAGGGGUCCUGAGAGGGAGAUCCCCCACACUGGUACUGAGACACGGACCAGACUCCUACGGGAGGCAGCAGUGAGGAAUAUUGGACAAUGGGCGCAAGCCUGAUCCAGCCAUGCCGCGUGCAGGAAGACGGUCCUAUGGAUUGUAAACUGCUUUAUACAGGAAGAAACACUCCCCUCGUGAGGGAACUUGACGGUACUGUAUGAA